GACGAACGCUGGCGGCGUGCCUAAUACAUGCAAGUAGAACGCACAGUUUAUACCGUAGCUUGCUACACCAUAGACUGUGAGUUGCGAACGGGUGAGUAACGCGUAGGUAACCUGCCUGGUAGCGGGGGAUAACUAUUGGAAACGAUAGCUAAUACCGCAUAAUAUUAAUUAUUGCAUGAUAAUUAAUUGAAAGGUGCAAUUGCACCACUACCAGAUGGACCUGCGUUGUAUUAGCUAGUAGGUGAGGUAACGGCUCACCUAGGCGACGAUACAUUGCCGACCUGAGAGGGUGAUCGGCCACACUGGGACUGAGACACGGCCCAGACUCCUACGGGAGGCAGCAGUAGGGAAUCUUCGGCAAUGGACGAAAGUCUGACCGAGCAACGCCGCGUGAGUGAAGAAGGUUUUCGGAUCGUAAAGCUCUGUUGUAAGAGAAGAACGGGUGAGAGAGUGGAAAGUUCACACUGUGACGGUAUCUUACCAGAAAGGGACGGCUAACUACGUG
rnacentral:rRNA from 1 species